rfam:Octopus bimaculoides Scaffold3262_contig_10, whole genome shotgun sequence.
CUAGCUUCCACAGUAGAUAUUCUAAAACAGAAACGAUACACAGAACAUUAGCAUGGCCAUACGCAAGGACGACACGCAAAUUCAUGAUGCCAUGAAGCGUUUAAUAUUUUA